rnacentral:rRNA from 1 species
CCUACGGGUGGCAGCAGUGGGGGAUAUUGCACAAUGGGGGAAACCCUGAUGCAGCGACGCCGCGUGGGUGAAGAAGCGCCUCGGCGCGUAAAGCCCUGUCAGCAGGGAAGAAAAUGACGGUACCUGAAGAAGAAGCCCCGGCUAACUACGUGCCAGCAGCCGCGGUAAUACGUAGGGGGCAAGCGUUAUCCGGAUUUACUGGGUGUAAAGGGGGCGCAGACGGCGGUGCAAGCCAGGAGUGAAAGCCCGGGGCUUAACCCCGGGACUGCUCUUGGAACUGCGCGGCUGGAGUGCAGGAGGGGUAGGCGGAAGUCCUGGUGGGGCGGGGAACUGCGUAGAUAGAAGGGGGAACACCGGUGGCGAAGGCGGCGGACUGGACUGUAACUGACGUGGAGGCUCGAAAGCGUGGGGAGCCAACAGGAUUAGAGACCCUAGUAGUC